rnacentral:ncRNA from 1 species
CUAAUAACAAUGAUGAGGCUAAGUAAUAAAGCAAUCAGGUGAAGAGAGGUGACGGUUGGUGUGAGUCACUCCUGACCUUUAUGAACUCACCUCUGAUGUUGCAGGAGUGAAUAUAAUAGCUUUUGCCGUUAUCCGCGUUAAGGAGAUGAAGUGAGUGUUUAGUAUACACUAAAUUUGGGUGGUACCGCGGGAAUCUCUCUCGUCCCAUGA